rnacentral:ribozyme from 1 species
UGCACAGCAACUCCUAUCCCUACCUCCUCGUGGUACUGGCCGGGGUACGAGUAAUCUUGGGGAAGA